rnacentral:rRNA from 1 species
CCUACGGGUGGCAGCAGUGGGGAAUCUUCCGCAAUGGGCGAAAGCCUGACGGAGCAACGCCGCGUGAUCGAAUGAAGGCCUACGGGUUGUAAAGAUCUGUUGUCAGGGACGAAUAAGCAAUGCGAAUACUUUUUUGUAUGACGGUACCUGUUUAGAAAGCUCUGGCUACCUACGUGCCAGCAGCCUCGGUAAUACGUAGGGAGCAAGCGUUGUACGGAAUUACUGGGCGUAAAGGGCGCGUAGGUGGGUGGUUAAGUCAGGUGUGAAAACUGCGGGCUCAACCGGGUGACUGCACUUGAUACUGGCUGUCUUGAGGGCAGGAGAGGAAAGUGGAAUUCGUGGUGUAGCGGUGAAAUGCGUAGAUAUUAGGAGGAACACCGGUGGCGAAGGCGACUUUCUAGACUGUACCUGACGCUGAGGCGCGAAAGCGUGGGUAGCGAACGGGAUUAGAUACCCGUGUAGUC